UACGUAGGGUGCAAGCGUUAAUCGGAAUUACUGGGCGUAAAGCGUGCGCAGGCGGUUUCAUAAGACAGAUGUGAAAUACCCGGGCUCAACCUGGGAACUGUAUUUGUGACUGUGGGGCUAGAGUACGGUAGAGGGGGAUGGAAUUCCGCGUGUAGCAGUGAAAUGCGUAGAUAUUCGGAGGAACACCAAUGGCGAAGGCAAUCCCCUGGACCUGUACUGACGCUCAUGCACGAAAGCGUGGGGAGCAAACAGG
rnacentral:rRNA from 1 species